CAGUCGCCACGGUAAAACGGAGGGUGCGAGCGUUAAUCGGAAUUACUGGGCGUAAAGCGUACGCAGGCGGUUUGUUAAGUCAGAUGUGAAAUCCCCGAGCUUAACUUGGGAACUGCAUUUGAAACUGGCAAGCUAGAGUCUUGUAGAGGGGGGUAGAAUUCCAGGUGUAGCGGUGAAAUGCGUAGAGAUCUGGAGGAACACCGGUGGCGAAAGCGGCUCUCUGGUCUGUAACUGACGCUGAGGCUCGAAAGCGUGGGGAGCGAACAGGAUUAGAUACCCGCGUAGUCCCUGUCUCUUAUAC
rnacentral:rRNA from 1 species